UUGGAGGUAUUGGAAUUACUUUGCCGUUGGAAAUCCGUUUUAAUUCCGUGAAAUGAAGCGUGAGAGCGGGAAACGGAUUAUAUGGCUCAGAAAGUCUGUCAUGUUCAUAAAUCCUCUUAAUUGACUCAGAAUUUUAAUAACAAGUUCAUUUUCGGAAUAUAUCUUUAAUAUUUAUAAGAAGAAUUUUGGAAUUCAGUUAUAUGUUUUUAAUUUGUGUAAAAGUCAUUUUUUAUUUUAAAGUUAGCUGAAAACUUUUGGCAAGUUAGCUAAUUGAUACUUGAACUUUUAGUCAGCCGGUAAUUUAUUUGGGCUCACAAAUCACUAUGAGAAUGAAUUAGUACUCACACGAAUUAUCAGGUAUUUGGUCGGCUUCAGACCGACUAAAAAAAUCAUGAUGAUUGAAUUCAUGAUUUUCUUUAAAAAAACAUCCUUCCGUCGGCUCUGCAGUGUGAGGUACUCUUAGUUUAACUAAAGAGCAAGCGAAAAACAACUAGGUAUGACGAUUUUUUUCAUUCCGCCACUGAAGAAAAUAGGUCUGCAUUUUCAUUAUAUGACAUAGUUUUGUUUCAUUGUUUCACAUAUGAACCUUAUCUAUGAGGAUAAUAAUCCUUAGUGCCUACAAGUCACACAUAUUGUCAUAAGACUUUACAAAUAGAUAUUUUGUUUUGACUCAUUUAUUUAUUAGUCACAUGAAUAAGCAGAUAUAGGCCUCAAUAAGUAUAUAACAGCUCUUGCGAGCUUGUGGUUUUACAUACCGUUUAGUGCCGUGGACGAGUGAGAACGUGUCAACAUGAAUUUCUCUAACAUUUAUAAUAUUGUGUUGGUGGUUAGUGCGUUCUUGGUCACAUUUUGUUCGGCGCACCCAGUCAACAAUCAAUUAGAAGUCACCGGUCAUACAAGAGUCAAGCGACAAAUGGCUAUACACCCUGGAUCUAACAUUUGCGCGAGUGAUUCGUACUACUGCUACGGAAUGUGUCUUACUUUCGAAGGGGUAAAAAAGUUCUUAGAUGGCGAAUGCGAACGAAGAUACCAAAUAGUAGAAUCAUGUUCAUGUAUGUAUGUCGGUGCUUUGGCUUAGACAGGUGAUUUAAUUACAUUAAGUUUUGACAGUGUAAUAUAUGUAUCUUCCUAACAUACUAAUAAUCAAUUGAAAGUAUUUUCAGAGAUAUAAUAUAUUUUAUGACAUUAUCUCUUGCAUUGGAAAAUAUAUAUAUGCAAGCAUCAUAUCGAUAUGAAAAGAAUAUAUUGUUAAUUUUGUAUAUAAUUUAAUCAUCUACAAUUUUGGUGUGUCUGACAUUUUUGUCAAAAUUACAAAAUAUCCAAAACCUUGGCUUGGCUUGGCUUCGAAUAUCUUCGGAAGCUCGCUCUGGAUUGAUGAGGUCUUUUGAUAUUUUAUGUAUAAUGCUGAGCCCAAGGUCCCCACCAAUAUUCAACUCAGUGCAAAUUUUAGUUAUUUUAAUUGUCUACAUUCAUUUUGCUAGUAAUUAUGUAACCUAAUUUAUAAAAAAAGUGGACUGCACUACUAACUAAGUAUAAUAUACUUAGUUAAUAAAAAUAUGUUAGUUCCGUUCCAUUUAAUGUAUGUUUUUUAUAUAUUAAUAUGAGAUAAUGUAAUUAUUAUCCGAAAUAAAAUAUGUAUCUUUUGUCAUUUGUUUUAUUAGCUUUAGCGUAAACUUGUCUUCCAGAACUAAUUAUAAUGUUUAUAAGGAUCAUUGUUGGUCAAAUAGAAAGCAGAAGUCAGAAAGUCUGACAACCAGUCUUACCGAGGUAAGUAUUAGAUGGUUCAGAUGACUGGGUUAAAGAGGCAUGUAAAACAGUUCAUGUAAAACACAGGCACUAAGUUGCAUUCAGUGAGAAUGGAAUUCAACCCCGACAUAGUUGGGAAAAAACUAGGUAGCUGAUGAUCUUUGCGAGUGCAUAAAAGCAAAUGUCUGGUACUGGGAACAGGGGUAUACAUACUAUUAUUUGCAGAUCCUCGUCAAUUUAUAAACUUUAUUUGCAACAUUCUAAGUAACAUCGAUAUUUCACCGUUUUAAUGUCAAUUGUAAUUGAAUCUUUUCAAUAGUUCCCUGUGUUCAAAGUAUGUUUGGCGUCUUUCUAUAAAUAAAGUAGUUAAUUGAUUAUGUAAUUUUUAAGUGUUAAAUUGCUCAUGAAUUAACAAUGACCAAUUGGCAUCUUUAAACUUAUUGGUGAAAUAUAGGUGUAUUUAGAAGAAAAUGAUAUCGUCUUCACUGGUUUGUUAAAUUCCGGGUUUGACCUUGAAACUUUAUAAUUUAUUUGUGUAAUUUCAUUUUGAUCAAGUCAAGAAUAAAGUCCUUGGUUCAAGUUAAAACAACACCUACCUCUAUAUAAAAUAUUAUGUAACAUUACCUACCUAUGUUUUUAAAGGUCAUUCAUAUUAGAUUCAUCAUUAGAUAUAUAUACAUAAAAAAGUCUUAGUGGCUCAGUGGGGAAAGGAUCAACCACUGAAGUACGAGUGCGUGGGUUCGAUUCCAGGCAAGUACCGAUGCAACUUUUCUAAGAUUGUAUGUACUUACUAAGUAAUAUCUUAAACAUCAAUGUUUGUGUUUCGGUGGGCUUGUUAAACUGUAGAUCCCGGCUGUCAAUGAACAUCCUUGGCAGUCUUAAUGGGUAGACUUUAGGGGAAGCCAGUAAUUUUUACACCAGCCUAAACAAGGGGUAUUGGGUUACCUUGGUAACUGGGUUGAGGUGGACAGAUAGGCACGCCCCUUGUCAAGCACUGGUACUCCGCCGCAUCCGGUUAGACUGGAAGGCGACCCCAACAUAGUUGUGAAAAAGCUCGGGAGAUUAUGAUCAUUAGGUAUACGUAUAAGUACGAAGCAGCAAUAUAUUUUAAUGAUCAUAGAUAUUUAUUUCCGAAGGCAAUUAUAAAUUUAUAUUGAAUUUCUAUAAAUAGCACAUAGCGAUUUUAUAAUUACUUCUUAGAAACAAGCUCGCAGAAACUGCAUUUUGCAUAAUGUCAAUAAAACUUGAUUUUCAACAAU